rnacentral:rRNA from 1 species
AGGACAAACGCUGGCGGGGUGCAUGAGACAUGCAAGUCGAACGGAGGUGCCAUCGGGCUUGCUCGAUGGUUACCUAGUGGCGGACGGCUGAGUAACGCGUAGGUGACCUACCGGAAGUGGGAAUAACUGCCGAAAGGGUGGCUAAUACCGCAUGUGGUCGGCGAUUCGAUUCGCCGUCUAAAGGAGCAAUUCGGCUUCCGGAGGGGCCUGCGUCCGAUUAGCUAGUUGGUGGGUAACGGCUCACCAAGGCGACGAUCGGUAGCUGGUCUGAGAGGAUGAUCAGCCAGACUGGGACUGAGAACGGCCCAGACUCCUACGGAGGCAGCAGUCGGGAAUUUUGCCCAAUGGACGAAAGUCUGAGGCAGCAACUCCGCGUGAGGGAUGAAGGCUCUCGGGUCGUAAACCUCUUUUCUCAGGGAAGAUCCAAGACGGUACCUGAGGAAUAAGCGACGGCUAACUACGUGCCAGCAGCCGC